CCGCCUCCGCGGGUCCGGAUGCUGGUGAGCAGCAAAGCCCCCCUGCACCAUCUGUCCGCUCCCACUGACACCCCAGCGAAGGACUGAGGAGCAAGGGAAGGUCUGUCGCGUGGUGGGUGGCAGUGCCCCGCUCUCCUCCCACCGCUCCCAGGCUGCUUCCCAGCCUCUUUUACCUCGAUGGCCUUGUAGAAGAUGCUGUUCCCGAUCUGGACCACCUCCAGGUUCUGCUCCUGCUCGUUGCGGGCACAUUUGAUGUAGGUCAUCCAGCUCCGGUGGUCCUCCUGGCUGGCAUCGAUGAAGUACCGCACGGUGCCGUCUUCGUUGAAAACCUGCGAGGGAGAAAGAUGGGUCGGUAGCAUCGCUGCCCGGGGUGGAUUAAGCUCCUCCAUCCCUGCCUGGGGGAAUCGUGCUGCCGGGGGCAGGUGAUGCUUUGGAAUAAAGUCCCUGGCCAGGGGGACUGCAAAGCCAGCACGGCCUCGGCGCGAAGGCCCUGCAGGCAGCUGAGAACCGCUGCCUCUGCACAGGAUGUGGCCGNNNNNNNNNNNNNNNNNNNNNNNNNNNNNNNNNNNNNNNNNNNNNNNNNNCAGAGGCUGGCCGGCAGCUCAGCCCCUUCGGCAUCCUGCAGCCGCCUCGGGAAGAAGAGGGGCCGGCAUCCCUCGAUGGGUGGAGGAGGAAGGUGCAUGGCAGACCCGGCCCUCGGGGAAGAUGAGGCACAAGGAAGAUCCACAUGCUCCGGCGAAAUGACCCGGCCCGUGAAAGGUCCCAUCUCGGUCCCAGCCUUGAUCCAGGUCUUGGAGAAGAUGCCCAGCCCUUCCCCGGGGAUGGAGCUUUGCGCAAUGAUCACUUCCGACGGCAGCACCAGGCUGGACAAUUUCUGCACCUCUGUGCGCAUUAGGGAGAGGGGUUGGAAAAGGGACCCACCAGCUUCCUUCCCCCCCUUACACCCCAUCCUGUCCCUCACCAACCCCUCCGGGACAUCAGGGUCCCCCCAGGCACCCCCAGCCUUCCCCGGCUCAGGGCUGGG
rnacentral:lncRNA from 1 species